AUCGAUCCAAGCACAAUACUACAGCGAAGCAAUCAUUAUUGCCAUCAGCCAUGCCUCGAGGAUUUCUAUGAGUCGAAGCAAUCGAUUCCCUCAUACAUGAAGAAAGAACAGACGUCGAUGCAGCCGAAGAUUUGGCUCAUCUCCGUUCAAUUCGACUCUCCUCUUGCAAUUCCUUGCCUUCCCCUGCCCCUCCCUCCGAAAUCGUAGAAGGAACAAAUGACUUGGAAAAUUUGAUGGCGAUACUUACCUUCUCCCCAACCCCAACUCUUCUCUUUCACCCGCCAAUCUGUCCUUUACCCAUCUGGUCGAUGAAGAUAUGGGAGAGGACAUAGAUGGACUGCAUUUUUCUGUCAACUAUUACCUCGAGCAUCUCUCGCCAAUGAGACCUGUGGCAGAGGAAGGGCAUUCCCGAAGCAGGCGGACGUUUCGAUUUGCCUCUUCAGCACUGGUGCCAUUCAAGGCCGGAAACCUUUCGCGAUGACGUUCGCGUAUGUCUCUGGACAUUCGCCCGCAUUCUCAGUCAUGUCAGAGGCCAUCCUGUCUUCCAGGGCAGAGGCGACAUCCCUCAGACUUCCCCAGAUCAGCAGCUCAUCCUUUUCCUCUAUCGAAUGGGUCACUCGGGCAACGCAUCCCCGCUCCGGCAGAUCUCCGAAACCUUUGGCGUCUCUCAGGGCCACGUUGUCCGAUGUACCGCGCGUGUAUUGGAGGCUAUUUUAGAUACACCUGCAAUAACGAAUGCCAUCAGCCUACCUGCUAAAGGGUCUGCGGAGAGAGAAGAUGCCAAGAGGAAGAUGGCAAGAGUGGUUCGUCGGCAGUAGGAAUGACGCCUCCUGUUUUGCAGCAUAGAGUUCUCACUUCGACCCGGACGUAUCCACCUUGAAGGCCAGCGCAUACUUGAGGAGGAGAUCUCCGCUUGGCGUACUGGGUACUGACACAUUUCACCAGGGAUGUUCGUCACUUCGGGCCAUGCUAUGGCUGGUGGUCUUUUACCUUGGAAAGGAUAAACUUAAUCCUAAAGCAAAUGAACCAGAGCGGUUCGAAUAAAUAUCAAGCAUCCGUGGUGGCAUUUCGAGGGUAUCUGCGCUGUAGGGAUCUGAUAAGGCACACUGCCACGGCCAUUGAGUCCAUCUUCGGAACCUUCAUCAACAGUAAAACAGAAGACGUCUUGCAGAAAAUUCUGCUAAAGUUUUCUGAGCUGGAUCUCAACGCGAUAGGUAACAGUCGCCACAGUGAUGUCGAAGAUGCUCUGGUCAGAGCAGAUGGUAAAUCAAAGGCAGGAACGUUGGACUUUCAAACCUUACUUCAGUUGCGCGACUGCCUUCGCUUGCAGCUCCAUCUGGAAUGUAAUUUAUCUUAACUUAGGAUUCUUGGGGAUACCAAGACCCUUUCCAUCUAGGGUAUGCAGGUCGGUGUUGACAAUUACUUCGGGGUGGCGUAUAGUAAGGUGACGAAUGAACUUAUUAUUGAGUUCAUCUAAGUGGUCCAGCCGGACGUUGGAUAUACUUGAGCGCAUUCCUAGGUCGAUGAUUUCGAGUAAAGACAUGGAACAGUUUCUUUCUUCCAGAGAUAUGAG
rnacentral:sRNA from 1 species